rnacentral:rRNA from 1 species
UGGAUCCAGACUUUGAUUAUGGCUCAGGAUGAACGCUAGCGACAGGCUUAACACAUGCAAGUCGAGGGGCAGCGGAGAGACAAGCUUGCUUGUUUCUGCCGGCGACCGGCGCACGGGUGAGUAACACGUAUGCAACCUGCCCCUGUCAGGGGGAUAAGCGGGAGAAAUUCCGUCUAAUACCGCAUAACGAUUUCCGAAGACAUCUCCGGGAGUCCAAAGGAGCGAUCCGGACAGGGAUGGGCAUGCGUCGCAUUAGGCAGUUGGCGGUGUAACGGACCACCAAACCGAUGAUGCGUAGGGGUUCUGAGAGGAAGGUCCCCCACACUGGUACUGAGACACGGACCAGACUCCUACGGGAGGCAGCAGUGAGGAAUAUUGGUCAAUGGGCGGGAGCCUGAACCAGCCAAGUCGCGUGAGGGAAGACGGCCCUACGGGUUGUAAACCUCUUUUGUCGGGGAGCAAAGGACGCCACGUGUGGCGUGAUGAGAGUACCCGAAGAAAAAGCAUCGGCUAACUCCGUGCCAGCAGCCGCGGUAAUACGGAGGAUGCGAGCGUUAUCCGGAUUUAUUGGGUUUAAAGGGUGCGUAGGCGGGACGGUAAGUCAGCGGUAAAAUUGCGGGGCUCAACCCCGUCGAGCCGUUGAAACUGCUGUUCUUGAGUGGGCGAGAAGUAUGCGGAAUGCGUGGUGUAGCGGUGAAAUGCAUAGAUAUCACGCAGAACUCCGAUUGCGAAGGCAGCAUACCGGCGCCCGACUGACGCUGAAGCACGAAAGCGUGGGUAUCGAACAGGAUUAGAUACCCUGGUAGUCCACGCAGUAAACGAUGAACACUAAUUGUUCGCCUCGAGAGAGGGGUGAGUGAUACAGCGAAAGCGUUAAGUGUUCCACCUGGGGAGUACGCCGGCAACGGUGCAACUCAAAUGAGUUGACGGA